CAAGGAGUCAAUGUUGCAAAAAGGGGUAAUAUAAAAACUUGGCUAGGAAAAAUGUUCACAGAAGGAAGAAAUUCUAGCCGCAUGUCUGCCUCAUCAAAAUGCCUAGAGUCAAAAAAUUCACAAAAUCAGUGGGAAAAUUGUGCCUUAGAGAUUCAUAAUUAUUAUGAGCAUUUGUUGUCUUUGAAUUUGGAUGAAGAGAUUUGCGAGGAAGAGAAUGAAAUUUUGCAGGCUGGUCCAUUGGAAGGAGGUGUGCAAGAUCCCACUGAUUCUACCAUGAGUGUGGCUUCGAAAAUGGAAGUCAUGAGGAGUAAAAUAGAUGACGCACAGAAAAUAAUCCAGUUGAAAAAGGAAGAGGCUAAGCUCAAUGCAGAAAGGUCUGCAAAAGCUGAAUGGGUUUUGAGUGUAUGCAAUAGCAGGGUGGAGGAGCUUGAAGCCAAGAUAAGAGAAGAGGUCACGACUCAAAUAGAGAUAAAGAAAUCAUUGGAUAAUGAGAAAGAGCAAAUUCAAGAAAUUAUGAGUGAUAUUGCAGAAAACGAGAAUAGAUUAAACUCACUUCUUGAACUCAAAUCAGAGCUCUCCAACAAGCUCCAGUUAUCAACUUUGGCAAGAUCACAUGGAGAAGCUCAACUAGAGAAGGCAGUCCUUGCAAGAGCAGAAAUGGUGAGGGAGAUCGAAGAGCUAAGGCAACAAAGAGACGUUCUUCAACGUAGAAUUGAGUUUUGUAAAGAAAAAGAUGCAAUAGGAAUGGUAACAAAGCAUAACGAGAUAACUUGUGGCUACAGGGAGUAUACUGCAGAGGAUAUUAGAUUAGCAACAGAUGGGUUUUCAGAGAGUCUGAGAUUAAAAUCCAAUGGUGAUUGGACCAAUGUAUAUCGAGGACGUAUUCAUAAUUCAACUGUUGCAAUCAAAAUCCUCAAUUCUGAGACAGGAUUCUCCAGGGAAGAUUUUCUAGACAAGGUUAAGUUCCUGAAUAACAUUAGGCACCCUCAUUUGGUUGCCAUGGUGGGUUUCUGCUCCGAGCAAAAAUGCAUCAUUUUUGAAUACCUGCACAACGGUGGCCUAAGGGAGAUCUUGUUUUCCUCUGAAAGAAACAAUAAGAAAAGAGACCGGGUCCUCCGGUGGCGAGAUCGAAUCCGAAUAGCCCACGAGGUUUGUUCAGGUCUAGCCUUUCUACACUCGGCUAAGCCUAGGCCCAUUGUUCAUGGUCACUUGACCGCAUCCAACAUCCUCCUGGACCGCAAUCUAGUUGCUAAGAUAAGUGGGCUUGGGCUGAGCCAAUGCUACAAUGAAAAUUACGAUAUGCAUCCCGAUAUUCGAGCUUUUGGAGUUCUGUUAUUGCAUCUUCUGACUGGUAGAAAUUGGGCUGGGCCUUUGGAAGAUGCAAAAAUGGAUCGGUCGACCCUUGCUGGGGUUCUGGAUGAGAGGGCAGGACAAUGGCCGUUGGAUUUGGCUGAGGAACUCGUUGGGAUAGCAAUGAAGUGCAUGCCCUGUAACCUUAGGUCUGAUACAGAUUUCAGUAUAGCAACAGUAAUGGAAGAGCUUGAUAGGACAAGGAAAAGGGCUGAUGAGACAGUUGCUAGAGGUAGAUGUGAGUCUUUUGUUAAAGGAGGUGUUGACAAAGAAGAGUCCAAUGAAGUACCUAGCAUUUUCGUCUGCCCUAUAUUGCAGGACGUAAUGAAGAGCCCACAUGUAGCAGCAGAUGGAUUUUCUUACGAGUUAGCAGCAAUAGAGGAAUGGCUGGGGACGGGACACGAUACUUCACCAAUGACAAACUUAAGGCUUAAGCACAAAUUCCUAACCCCUAAUCACACUCUUCGUUCCCUCAUCCAAGAAUGGCACAACAGGAAAUCCAAUGUGACCUCAUGAUAUGAUGACGAUGAUGAUGCAUUUGUUUUGCAGAUUACAAAUCAUAAUAAUUUAUAAUUCUUUGUUUCUUUUCAACAUGCAAGAAAAACAGCAGGGUUUAUAGCUACAAAGCUGUAGUUUGUGCAGGUUCAAGAUUUAUUUUGUAAAAAUUUAUUGAUAUCAACAUAAAUCUUGAACCUGCACAAACUACAGC
rnacentral:misc_RNA from 1 species